ACCUAUGUAAUGAAGCUGAGAGUAUAUUCUAUUCAUUCUCUUUGUCAGUGCGACGGAUGAUAUUAUCCGUGAUUUGAAUAUAUUGUAUUGUAUACAUACAUGCAUAUAUAAGAUACAUAAACAAAUGGUUCGGACACAAGUUCUGACAACUUACGAGGUCUUUACCAUUAAAUAAAAAAAUUAUACAAAACUUACAACUGUUAUUACAUGAUUUAGAAUUGUUAUUACGAUAUAAUUGAAAAUAUGUGAUAUAUACGAGAAUAAGAAACAUGCAUAUUAAACAAAUCUACCAGUUUCGUUAAUGUACAAUUGAACUAAUGAGAAUAAUUGCUUGUUAAUAUCAAGAGAUAAUGACUCAUCGCCCCAUAAUAAAAGAUGAGUAUUAAUUAUAUGAAAGUGGUCUAGUUGUAGCAGAUUAAGAACAAAAAUAUUUCUAGCAAUAGUAUAAUUUUUCAUUUAAAGAAAAAAUGGUAAGCAUCUUCGGGUAAUUCACACCGACAAUUACUGCUUUCUAUAAUAUUUAUUUUGUGUAAAUCAUAUAUUAUCCAUAUCAACACGUUGUAUAUAAAUUAAAUUGUAUUCAUGUACAUAAACAUUUUUUUAAUGUGUUGUGAUAGUAAGGAACUUUUUAUAUAAAACAAAUAAAAACAUGAAAAU
rnacentral:misc_RNA from 1 species